rnacentral:rRNA from 1 species
UACGAAGGGGGGCUAGCGUUGCUCGGAAUUACUGGGCGUAAAGCGUAUGCAGGCGGAUCGUUAAGUCGGGGGGUGAAAUCCCGAGGCUCAACCUCGGAACUGCCUUCGAUACUGGCGACCUUCGAGUCCGGGAGAGGUGAGUGGAACUCCGAGUGUAGAGGUGAAAUUCGUAGAUAUUGGGAAGAACACCGAUGGCGAAGGCAGCCAUCUGGACCGACACUGACGCUGAGGCGCGAAAGCGUGGGGAGCAAACAGG